rnacentral:lncRNA from 1 species
UAGGUCCUCCUCUUCCUCCUGCGCCCCGUUCGCCCAGCCGCGCCUCACAUGGGGAAGGGGCCUCAGGGAGGCCGGGCACGAGCUGCGGUACCGCUAGCGGCCCAUGGACCCGGCUCCCGCUAACUGCGCCCGGCCCGCGCUUCGGGCGCUGGGGGUCUGCGCCUUCUCGCUCCCGCUCCCUAAACACAGCCAAGUUUUAUUUCUAAGCGGCGGGAGAGAGUAGGUCGAGCCGUUGGGGAAAGAGAGAUUUAUUCUUCAAGAAGGGAGAACAAAAUCAUCUGUGGCCUGAUGACUUGGAAGAAUGACAGGAAAUUAUAUAUCUAUAUCUUUGACUCUUGAGCCUGAGCGAAAGCAAGAGGUCUUACCGUGUGCGGGGCCCGCCCCCACCCCGGGAGGCAGCCGAGGGGUGCUGAUGCUGGCUUGGGGUCCUACGUCUGUCUCCUUACAUCCCCGAAGCGAUUACCGACUCUCUCGCUUCCCCCAGACACGGCGUGGCCGGCGGGGCCCGAGCUGGGGCCAGGGUGCUGACUCUGCCGCCUCUCGGAGCGCCGCGGGACUUCCAAAGUUGCGUGCCCUGCUGGGGCUGGGGAGCAGCGCGCGGAGCUCGGAGGCGGCGGCGGCGGCGGCGGGGUGAGGGGUUUAGGGGCCGCAUGAAGGCGCCCCCGUCCUCAGGCGGGCCCGGGCGGGUGGGCUAUUGGCCCUCCAGGAGCCGCAGCCGAGGCAGGGGGUCUCCUGGGCGUUGGCCCGGCGAGCUUCGAGCGCUGAGCUCAACCGGACAGGCUGGGGUCCGAGGGCGGCGUGAGUUGGGGCAGGAGCUCAAGGCUCGGGAGAGAAGGUGUUGGGGGUGGCCGGGCGGCUGCGCGCCUGCUGCUAGGCGUCCGCACCGUUGCCGAGGCCGCUGCUUCGCCGCCGCGCUCACGGUGGACUGGUUUUAUAGCCCAAGGAUCAAGCCGGCGUUGCCGAGCAGCCGGCGUCAGCCCCCACGUGGGAAGCCGACCCUCCCCCGCCCCUUGCGCCUCCCCUCCGCGGGUCUAGCGCCCGCGCCCCGCGCCUGACCCACUGGCGCCCUACCCACCCCACCCCCCGGCGAGACUGGCCCUUUGGGAGGGCGGGUACCUUAAGCGAGGGAUUUAAAGAGCGUGCGGGGGGAGGGGGGCGGGAGCGGUCAUUCUGGGAAUUGGCUGAGUAUCUCCCGGCCCGCCAAGCAGAAGGCAUCGGGCACCCGGGAGUGCCCACAUGGGACUGAGUGGGACCCAGGAGGAAAGGAUGAUACAGACCCCUGGCCGAAUCGGGAGAAACAACUGUCGGUACAGGCCGCAUCUGUGGCAGCCGGGUUCCACUCGUCCCCAAGUGCUGCUGGCGGAGGAGCGAGUGGGGCUGUGGAGAGAGGAAGGCAAAGGUUCGGAUCCAACCCCUGGGGCGGAAUAGGAAGCACCGCCCGGGGAAAGGGCCCGCCAGAGUUCAGAGCUCUGCUCUGGGGAGAGGCAGCCAACUUGUCGUCCCAACCGCAGAGCUAUCUGAGGGACGCUAGCGGCCCGGGGUCAGAACCGCGCCCCCUAGACCGCGUUGAGGAGGGGUCCCGGAUCCGAGGCGGCGCGCGGAGACAGAGCGAGGGCGCACUGACACCUGCCGGCCGCUGGCCGUCACCGCUGCGAAGCUAUCCGCCAGCGCCCGGGGAGCCUUCUCCCGCCCCUGCAGCUCUUUGCCUUCAGCGCCUUCUCUUAUCUCCGGACAAGUUUGCGUCCAAACUCAAGAAAAUAGAACCCAGAUUUUUAAUUGCAUUUUGUCAUGUUGCAGGAAUCUUCGGAAGUUUACACUCUUGUGCGUCUAAACCCCACCCACCCAACCCCGCUCCCGAAGGGACAAAGGAUUGGUCUGAUAAAGUCAUGUAAGGAAGGGAAGGGCUGGCAUCAGAGGCCAGGACUGACACUCCACCCUGGACCAGCACAGGGCAACGCUGCAUUCCCGCAGAUCCAAGAGAGGCUUGGAUCCUGCCCCGGCUGGUUGCUUUGCUCCGAUCUGCUCUGAACCAUUGUGUCUUUGUUGAAGCCAGAAAGCUAGGCUCCACCCAACCACCACUCCCCCAUUUCAGAAGCACAGACACCAUCUUUCAGUAAGGGGAGGGCGCUGGCCAAGAGAAGAGGGAAUAUUUUCCAUGUUCUCUCUGAUAGGAAUAGCAUGAAGUGGGGGUGACUACAGUUUCCUCUGCCUGCUAGAUGCCCUGUGGUAGAUUUUAACGGUUGCUGGAGCACCAGCUUGUAUUGUGCUAUCUGCACUUUUCAAAUAAACAGCAGUUUAAGGGUACGGCCCAGGAGGAUAGGAGCUUUCAGAAGGAGAGAGAUUAGACCUAAAGAAAAGGUGUCUUAUUUAAGGACCUGCUAAACCAAAAUACUGUAUGUAGUCAACUAAGCUGGGAGUUCGAAGAACUAAACAGACUGACUCUCUAACCAGCAGGGUUCAGGGUCAGGGGCUGAGGACUAAAUUAAAUACUUUGAGCAUCACCUUCAACCCUGGUUGAUGUCUAUAGCCCACACCAGUGAUACAGUGAUUGAUGCUGUUGGUCUUGACAUGGAUAGUCCUGAAGUCUGUACUUUUUCAAAGUACUUCACAGGUGUCUCACAUGACUUCAGUACUCUCAUCUCCCAAUCUUUGAUCCAGCGGGAUGGAUGCCCUCCCUUUCCAGUCUUAAUUCUGGGGAGUCUUUCUAAUCCCCUUGUCGGGAGCAUCUAAGAAAGUUAAGGCAGGAUUUCCUCCCUCUAUCAAAUCCAUUUUUUCCUAUCUUCUGAGAAAGUCUCAGCUCUGUAUCUCCCAACAGGGGGCAGAAACAUUGCAUGAGGCUCAGUUGGAAAUGUGAUUACACUCAUCUUUGCACAGUAACCAGGAGCCCCAAACCUUCAGUAUAAAUGCUGAGUGAGACAAAGCCCAUGGCAAUCUGGGCUUCACUGUGUUGUUCACAGGCCUUGGGGACUGAGUUUUGAGAGGCUGUCACCUCCCAUCGCCACACCAGCUGCUGAUACCUGUCUCUCCUUCCUAUCUCAUUUCAGAAGCAAAAUGGGAAAUGAAAACAGAGACCACAGUGUCUUCCUUUCUUGGAAUCUCUGCGGCUAGCCUGCGUAUGACACCUCUUGUCACAUUUUCUAAAUGCUUCACAAACAGCCAGACGGUUUCUUAAUUCCUGGGUUUGGAGUCUUUUCUCCUAAUGUGGAAAUCAGCUUUGCAAGGAGCUAGGGCUUCAGAGGCCAGGACACAACAAUUAUUAAUAAUAACAAUAGCUGCCUUUCGUUAAGUUCCUAGUAUGCAGCAUGUCCAGGACUAUACACAGAGCCCCUUUAUAUGCAGAGUUCUUCCUCUCAACACAUGUACCUUGUCACCACCUUAUCACCUCUGCCUCCUUAGUUGGAUAUGCAUGGUCAGUAUUUCUGAGCUUUGAAAAGCUAUGUGGACACCUUUAUUAUUAUUAUUAUUAUUAUUAUUAUUAUUAUUAUUAUUAUUGCUAGAUUUAGUGCUGUACUUGCUGAGUGAGACAGCAAUGAGCAGAGAGAUAUCCACUAAGACAAUAAUUCUUAACUGGGCCUGUAUAUCAAGCAUUGCCUGGGAAAGGGAAAUACACUUAUUGGUGCUCCACCAGGGUAAUUAUGAUUCAUCAGGUCUGCAAUGGACUGCAGACUGUGUAUUUUAACAAAGCUCCUUGGGAGAUGCUAAUAUGCGUGCUCAGUUAAAACUCACUGCUCUAAGCAAUAAAUCUCAGUGGGGGCAGGAGUAAUGAACAAGUGCCUUGGUAGGGGCAGGGAGGGGGUGUCCACAUGACCUGGUGUCUUUUAUCAAGCCAGCCUAAGCUAUCAAGAAUGGACCCCAGAUUGAGAAUAACUGCCCUGAGUCUCCUGGGACAGCCAGAAGGGUGCCCCAGCCCUCCAGGGACCUGGAACAAAACAGUUGAGAGCCACUGUAAAUAUAGAGGCUGGCUUUCCUGGCCUGAGGAAAAGUCACCUCUGGGCACACAAAUGGGAGUCCACUAUUAUUUCUACUAUUAAUAAAAAUAAGUACUACAGAGGAACUUAACAUUUUUUUCAAAGAUAUACAAAUGGCCAGUAGGCACAUGAGAAGACGUUCAACAUCACUAGUCAUCAGAGAAAUGGAAAUGAAAACGACAAUGAGAUAUCACCUCACACCUGCCAGAAUGGCUGUCAUCAAAAAGACCACAAAUAACAAGUGCUGGCGACGUUGUAGAGAGGUUGUAGAGAAAAAGGAGCCCUUGUGCAUUGCUGCUGGGAACAUAAAUUGCCACAGCCACUGUGGAAAACAGUAUAAAGAUUCCUCAAAAAUUAAAAAUAGAACUACCAUAUGAUACAUCAAUUCCACUCCUGGGUAUGCAGCCAAAGAAAACAAAAACACUAAUUAGAAAAGAUACAUGCAAAAACAUAUGUUCAUUGCAGCGUUAUUUAACAAACAUUCAAAACAUGGAGGCAACCUAAGUGCCCCUCAAUAGAUGAAUGGAUAAAGAAGUGUGAUAAACUCACACACAUACACACACAAUGGAAUCCUGCUCAGCCACAAAAAAGAGGGAAAUCUUGCUAUUUGUGACAACAUGGAUGGACUCUGAGGGUAUUAUGCUAAGUGAAAUGUACUAUGCUAAGUGAAAUAAGUCAGACAGAAAAAUAAAUACUGUAUGAUUUUGUUUAUAAGUAGAAUCUAAAAAAAAAACCAAUUAACAUAACAAAACAGAGGUGUAGAUACAGAGAACAAACAUGUGGUUGUCAAAAGGGAGGGAGUCCGGAGGAGGAAAGAAAUCAGUGAGGGAGAUUAAGAGGUACGAACUUUCACUAAGGUACAAACUCCCAGUUAUAAGAUAAAUAAGCACCAGGGAUGUAGUGUACAACGUGAUAAAUACAAUUAACACUGCCGUAUGUUGUAUAUGAAAAUUAAGAGAAUAAAUCCUAAGAGUUCUCAUCAUAAGAAAAACAGUUUUUUCAUUUCUUUAAUUUUGUUAUCUGUAUGAGAUGAUGAUUCAAAUUUAUUAUGAUAAUCAUUUCAUGAUGUGAGUCAAUUAUGCCACACAUUUUAAACUUGUACAGUGUCGCAUGUCAAUUAUAUCUCAAUAAAACUGGAU